rnacentral:lncRNA from 1 species
GUUUCUGAAGCCGAACAAAGCUGUGAUAGUGUUGCAGGGCCGUUACGCGGGGAAGAAGGCGGUGAUAGUGCGAACCUUCGAUGACGGCACGCGCGAGCGCCCCUACGGUCACUGUUUGGUUGCAGGAAUAAAGAAGUAUCCCAGCAAGGUCAUAAAGAAGGACUCGGCCAAGAAGACCGCCAAGAAGUCGCGCGUGAAGGCCUUCAUCAAGCUCGUCAAUUACCAGCACUUGAUGCCCACUCGCUACACGCUCGACGUGGACCUCAAGGACGCCGUCAAUCCCGAUGUCCUCCACGCCAAGGAUAAGAAGGUCACCGCCC